CCUACGGGUGGCUGCAGUGAGGAAUAUUGGUCAAUGGGCGCUAGCCUGAACCAGCCAAGUAGCGUGAAGGAUGACUGCCCUAUGGGUUGUAAACUUCUUUUAUAUGGGAAUAAAACGCAGCAUGUAUACCUUUUUGCAUGUACUUUAUGAAUAAGGAUCGGCUAACUCCGUGCCAGCAGCCGCGGUAAUACGGAGGAUCCGAGCGUUAUCCGGAUUUAUUGGGUUUAAAGGGAGCGUAGACGGGUUGUUAAGUCAGUUGUGAAAGUUUGCGGCUCAACCGUAAAAUUGCAAUUGAUACUGGCAUGCUUGAGUAUAGUAGAGGUAGGCGGAAUUCGUGGUGUAGCGGUGAAAUGCUUAGAUAUCACGAAGAACCCCGAUUGCGAAGGCAGCCUGCUGAACUGUGACUGACGCUGAUGUUCGAAAGUGUGGGUAUCAAACAGGAUUAGAUACCCUGGUAGUC
rnacentral:rRNA from 1 species